rnacentral:lncRNA from 1 species
CCAGAAAAGGGCGGAUUCCUAUCAGCUCAGCCAAAUGCCCCCAUUAGACAGCGGAGGUUAUUUACGGUGCGGCAGGCGAAGGCAAUGGCACCCCACUCCAGUAUUCUUGCCUGGAAAUAUCCCAAGGGCGGAGGAGCCUGGUAGGCUGCAGUCCCUGGGGUCGCGAAGAGUCGGACACGACUGAGCGACUUCACUUUCACUUUUCACUCUCAUGCAUUGGAGAAGGAAAUGGCAACCCACUCCAGUGUUCUUGCCUGAAGAAUCCCAGGGACGGGGGAGCCUGAUGGGCUGCCGUCUAUGUGGUCUCACAGAGUCGGACACGACUGAAGCGACUUAGCAGCAGCAGCAGGCAUCCUCCUCCGGGGGGCACCUGCAGCCCUAGCGAGGCCGAAGCUGAAGGUUGUCCUCUUCCCGCUGCCCUAGGAGCGCUAAACAUCCCCAGAAGAGCCCUUCGGACUUCGUGGGAUGUCCGCUUCCUGGGACCCCAGGUCCAAGGACACAGGCGGGCAGCUGCUGAAACUCAGUAGUUCCUGGAUCUUCACUAUUUGGCCCCAGGAUGGUUUCUCCCCGCCCUCAUCAGGUGCAACUGGUCUCUGCACUAUCUGCAGCCCUGCAACUACCCUGACCUGCAUGAUUCCACACCGAUUCCAGAGAACUACCAGGCUGCAGAGGCUGAAGGCACAGGCAUGGGACUUACCACGGUCAGUCUCCAGACAGAUAUCCAGGCUGAACUGGGAACAGUCCUCCUUGAACUGCCUUCAGUAA